UGGUGGUAUAAUGAUGAGCAUAGCUGCCUUCCAAGCAGUUGACCCGGGUUCAAUUAUCUCGUGUUGAGCAA